rnacentral:rRNA from 1 species
GACGUAGGGGCCAGCGUUGUUCGGAAUUACUGGGUGUAAAGGGUUCGUAGGCGGUGCGGCAAGUUGGGAGUGAAAUCUCUGGGCUUAACCCAGAGGCUGCUUCCAAAACUGCUGUGCUUGAGUGUGGGAGAGGCGCGUGGAAUUGCAGGUGUAGCGGUGAAAUGCGUAGAUAUCUGCAGGAACACCCGUGGCGAAAGCGGCGCGCUGGACCACUACUGACGCUGAGGUGCGAAAGCGUGGGAGCAAACAGG